CCAUACUGAACACAAAAUUUCAAUCAAAAUGGGUUAAGUAGUUCAUAUGAGAUUAAGACACAAAUUGAUUUUAUUUUAAAAGUAUAAAAAAACUGCCCUUUAAAUGUUAGGAAAGAUUUCAGCGGAGUUUGAAUGCUUAAGUACCUAUCUACGUCAUAAGAACAUCAUACCUUAUAUCCUGCGUAUUUAAACUAUUUUUUUUUAUUUUCUCACUGAAUCCAUUAACAACCUUCAAAAAAAAACAAACAGACGCAAUAUAAUCUUGACAUUUGAAAGGUAUAUAAGGGGGGGUCGCCUGUCUUACUGGUCAGUACUCUGGUUUGGGCAGCAGUAUGGGUCGAUUCGUGUUUGUGUGGAUUGCCUUGGCGCUCGUCGUAGCCACGUUUGCCUCACCAGUUCCAGACGGCGAUCACUAUGGUGAUGGUCAUAAAGCAGACGGUACUCGUGGAGUAGGCGGCACUGACCACAGUCGCGGAGGCCUCUAUGAGAAGAGCGGCGCGACGAGCGGGGCGUCCGGCGGGUACGGCCACGGCGCGGGCGGGAUACUUGCAUAUGGCGGGUAGUAAUAAAUAGGAUUUAAAAAUUAA